rnacentral:rRNA from 1 species
GGAAUAUUGCACAAUGGGCGAAAGCCUGAUGCAGCAACGCCGCGUGAGGGAAGACGGUUUUCGGAUUGUAAACCUCUGUCCUUGGUGAAGAUCAUGACGGUAGCCGAGGAGGAAGCCACGGCUAACUACGUGCCAGCAGCCGCGGUAAUACGUAGGUGGCAAGCGUUGUCCGGAAUUACUGGGUGUAAAGGGAGCGCAGGCGGGGAAGCAAGUCAGUGGUGAAAUGCAUGGGCUUAACCCAUGAACUGCCAUUGAAACUGUUUUUCUUGAGUGGAUCAGAGGCAAGCGGAAUUCCGAGUGUAGCGGUGAAAUGCGUAGAUAUUCGGAGGAACACCAGUGGCGAAGGCGGCUUGCUGGGGUCUAACUGACGCUGAGGCUCGAAAGUGUGGGGAGCAAACA